rnacentral:tRNA from 1 species
CGGGACGUAGUUCAGCGGUCGGAGCAUCCGCUUUGGGAGCGGGGAGUCGAAGGUUCGAAUCCUUCCGUCCCGACCA